UGGGGAAUAUUGGGCAAUGGGCGCAAGCCUUACCCAGCAACGCCGCGUGAGGGAAGAAGGUUUUCGGAUCGUAAACCUCUGUCCUGGGGGACGAAGGAAGUGACGGUACCCCGGGAGGAAGCCCCGGCUAACUACGUGCCAGCAGCCGCGGUAAUACGUAGGGGGCGAGCGUUGUCCGGAAUUAUUGGGCGUAAAGGGCGCGUAGACGGCUGAGUAAGUUAUAGGUGAAAGCCCAGCUUUUAAGGCUGGAAUUGCCUGUAAUACUGUUCAGCUUGAGUGCAGGAGAGGGAAGCGGAACUCCUAGUGUAGCGGUGAAAUGCGUAGAUAUUAGGAAGAACACCAGUGGCGAAGGCGGCUUUCUGGACUGUAACUGACGUUGAGGCGCGAAAGCGUGGGGAGCAAACAGGAUUAGAUACCCUGGUA
rnacentral:rRNA from 1 species